AACGAACGCUGGCGGCAUGCCUAACACAUGCAAGUCGAACGAGACCUUCGGGUCUAGUGGCGCACGGGUGCGUAACGCGUGGGAACCUGCCCUUAGGUUCGGAAUAACUCCCCGAAAGGGGUGCUAAUACCGGAUAAUGUCUUCGGACCAAAGAUUUAUCGCCUUUGGAUGGGCCCGCGUUGGAUUAGCUAGUUGGUAGGGUAAAAGCCUACCAAGGCGACGAUCCAUAGCUGGUCUGAGAGGAUGAUCAGCCACACUGGGACUGAGACACGGCCCAGACUCCUACGGGAGGCAGCAGUGGGGAAUAUGGGACAGUGGGCGAAAGCCUGAUCAGCAAUGCCGCGUGAGUGAUGAAGGCCUUAGGGUUGUAAAGCUCUUUUACCCGGGAUGAUAAUGACAGUACCGGGAGAAUAAGCUCCGGCUAACUCCGUG
rnacentral:rRNA from 1 species